AAGAGCUGAAGAUUAAAGCUUUCUGCAGAAGAAUCCUGCUGUUGUUGCGUGCUGUUCUUGCCGGCGAGGACGGGGCGCGCGACAAGUGGUGCCGAAACCCGGGAACCAGAACAUCACCGGCACAGGAAGGACCCUUCAGACAUCUGGAGAGGAUUCAGAACUGCAGGACAGAAGAAAGCCCGGAGAGGGUGAAGAAAACCCCUUCUGGAUCCCGGAGCGCCUGACAAAGAAAGUC